rnacentral:lncRNA from 1 species
GAAGUUGCAUCAUCUUCUUCUUUCUUUUCUGGAGUUUCUCCAAUCUGAAUUCCAAUCUCAUCCAGAUGCAUGUUCUUAGAAUCAGAAUGACCAGAAAAUGAGUGAAUGACAUCUCCACUGACCGAAUCUGAAACCACAAUGCACUCAGGUUGUUUCAUACAACUGACACCAGCCUUCUUGGGCGGACAAAGAUCAAAGGACUUAUCUAUUGCCUGUUGUACAGAAUGCUCUGAAACUCCAAUGCUCAAAAAAUUAUUGGGACCCUCUUCUAGGGAAACCUGGUCUUUAGUAUCAGCUAUGGCAGGUGGCACUGACUCCUGCAUGUGUCCAACUUUUAACUUGCCAGAGAAAUUAAGUUUUGAAGUUGCAUCAUCUUCUUCUUUCUUUUCUGGAGUUUCUCCAAUCUGAAUUCCAAUCUCAUCCAGAUGCAUGUUCUUAGAAUCAGAAUGACCAGAAAAUGAGUGAAUGACAUCUCCACUCUUCGAAUCUGAAGCCACAAUGCACUCAGGUUGUUUCAUACAACUGACACCAGCUUCCAGAGAGUUUGGACUAACAUCAGGUAACUGUGUCUUCGAAUCUGAAGCCACAAUGCACUCAGGUUGUUUCAUACUACUGCCAUCAGCCCCUAAAGAAUUUGGAAUAACAACAGGUAAAUGUGUCGUCAGCCGGUACACAGAAUUGGAGGUAGGUUUAUCAUUGAAAUGGUUUGAACAACUAAAUGGGAAUGUAUGAUGAGAACAUUUGCCUCUACCCUGAGAGGUUCUAUCCUUAGUCCUAAAACAAUCAUGGGCGAGAGGCUUGCUUGCUCCAACCUACAUGUUUCCAACCAAAUGAUAUGUUUAGAGAACACCCUUUUAUCAAUUGUAAACUCACAGCCGUAUACACAGAGUGUUGUACUAAACAAAUAAGUCCAAUAUAAAUUCUACUCACAUCUGGAUGCAUGUUCUUAGAAUCGGACUGAGUAGAUGAUGAAAGAAGAUCAUAGUUUCUAUAGAGAGAGUCUGGAGCUUCAAAGCACUCGGGGUGUUUCAUAUUACUCCCUUCAGCCUCGAGAGAAUUGGAAAUAACAUCAGGCGAAGUUUUUUUAGGCCGGUACACAAAAUUGGAGGUGGGUUUAUCUUUGAAAUGCUUUGAACCACUGCCAUGGGAUAUAUGAUGCGGAUGUUUCCC